rnacentral:rRNA from 1 species
CACGAAGGUGUGCUAAGUACGGUCGGACAUCGUACGGUUAGUGUAAAGGCAAAAGCGCGCUUGACUGCGAGAGAGACAACUCGAGCAGGUACGAAAGUAGGUCUUAGU